UUAAGGAAUCAUGAAGUAAAUCAUUGUAAGGAAAGGAGUUGAGGCCUUGUAAUUUACUUUCAAUUUGUCUUUUAUAUUAAUAUUUGUAUUUGAUUCCUCCCCCCUAUAUGAUUUCCAAGUACGUAAUUAGUAGACUUUUUUUAUCAUAAAUUCAUGUCACUCUCACAUACAUCAUAUAAAUUAAGACAUUAGUAAAGGAAAUAAAUGCAAAUCACAUUUAGCCACUUAGUCUGCACCACAGAGUUGGUGCCUUAACAAUCUUGCAUUGUACUAUUUCAAACUUAGAAUUUCUGAUGUGAUCAGUGCAUUAUUUAGCAUCCAAUUCUGCUUCUUAUAGAUUCGGUGGUGACUCUUACUAUUUUCAUAUCUAUUAUUUUCUAUUUUCAUAUCUAUUAUUUUGUGAAGUUUUGCUCGUGUUACCAUUGUGACAUUUAUUAACAUUUACUUGUCAGAAUUGCUAGCAUACGCCACAAAGUAGGUGCCUAAUACCUUUCCAUCUCGUAAAAUUUUGAUUCGGAAUUCUGAAUAAGAAGACUAGUGCACAUUUUGAGCAUCUAAUCUCGCCUAUAAUAAGAUCUGUGGGGACUUUGUUUUUUAACAUAACUUUUUGUUUUCAAGAGUUUUGUCUCGCAUCAUCCCCCAUUGUAGCAGCUGCUGCUACCCUUUUCUCUUCCUUUGGGUUUUGGUAACAGUGCUCAAGAGGAUGUCGGUGUGUAUGAGUUUAGUACUUGGCUGGGAGAGUGUGAGGUAGUUUUGGGGUUUGGAUUUGUGUGUGGGAGGUUUUUGUUAUGUUGAGGGGAAGGGUGGUUGGGUUGCUGCAGGCUCAUUAUAUUAGUCUCAAUCAACAGCCCUUGCAGCUAAGCAUUGUUCUUGGGGAGUCUGGUAUUCAGGGGGCCGUAGAUUUGAGUCGUGAAAUCUUUCAUAGGCUCUUCCGUUUGUGCUAUCUUAAGCGAGUCCAAGUGCUUUUCCAUUGUUCUCCACUUGCUUAGCCGCUGAAAGAGGAUUUUCACCAAGUUCAGUCAGAUCUGCUGCCAUGUUGUCAGACCACUGAAAAGUACACUACCAUUAGACAUUUUAAAGGGACAUAAUAGUCAAAAACCCUUUGAAGGGAUAAAAAAUGAACAGUGAAAACCAAUAUUGUUCUUUAGUUAGUAAGCUAGAGGGACACUUAAGUUCAUUUAUACUGGGUUGUGGUACCAAAGGGAAAUCCCAGGAUUUAUAACCGUGGCCAAUAUUGGCCUGAGGUCUUGUUUGUGAGGUUAGUAACAGUAGAAAAGGAGGAUGGUGGUGAGGAAGAAGAGAUUAGGGAUGCAGGUUAGGAGAAGGAGAUAAGAGAAGAAUAGGACUGUAGAGAGAAUAGGAAUAGUUCUGAUAGAUUUUUUUCAAUGAUGGACAUCAUCUAGGUAUAAUAUUUGUAUUGGUAGCAUAAUGUAACCACCUAGUGUCCAGGGACAGCUGGUGCUCUAGUCUGUCUCUGCAGCCUUCUGAUAUCGCCAAACAACAGUCAUAUUAAAAUGGAAAAGCAACUACAAUCAAAGGAAAUACUUUGAAUGUUAAUAACUAACUUAAUGAACAAGAUUUCUCGUCCUCUAGCUGCUCUAUUCAUGACAUGUUGUUCUUGACAGACUUAACACAAAUUACUUGCUGCAAGUUGGCAGAUGUAGUUGUGGGCUUGGGAUCUUUUAAUAUGCUUUUGAAUACCGUUCACAUGUUGUGAGUAUCCCUUGUUGAUUGUUUUUUGGCAUAUCUUCUUUAAGGGCGUUGGGGCAAAGAAAGAAGCCAGAAUCAUUUGAAGACGUGCUCCUUUUUCCAUUGUGGAUGCUUUCUAGAAUCUUCCAAGACUGUUACCUGCCUCUGAUUCUUUGGGAAGAUUGACUUUCUUUGCUUAUUUGUGAGCUAAGGCUCACAGAUGCUUGAAAGAUAUCUCUUUGCCAUUAUUACAAAAGAACUAGCAUACCAUUUUGUAUUAAUUUUUUUCAUUUGCUUUGUUUUCCUCAUUUAAUUUUUGGCUUUAUUUUCAUCUUCUUUUUCUAUAAAAGAAUUGUUGAUUUGUUGCUACUCUUGACCUUUCCGGUGUUUGUAAGCAUCUGUUUUAUCUAUUUUCAUCUCUUUCUAACCACCAAUCCAAUUCACUUCAACUCCUGUUUCGACACGAAAAUCUUACUUGUUAGCCAAGGCAGCUGUAGAGCCUCUAUUAUUGUGAUUCUAUCAUUUCUUUCUCUUAUUUCUUUUUGGUGAAACUGGGCUGAUUAAAAUAUUAUUAUUCUAAUACAUGCUUGAUUUUGUCUUCACAACAGAAUUAUUACUAAUAUUUGGGUAAUAAUUGGUUACUAUUCCAGUGGGUAAUAACUGG
rnacentral:lncRNA from 1 species